GCCAGGCAUGGUGGCCCGUGCCUGUAGUCCCAGCUACGUGGGAGGCUGAGGCAGGAGAAUGGCUUGAACCCAGGAGGCAGAGGCUGCAGUGAGCCGAGAUCACGCCACUGCACUCCAGCCUGGGUGACAGAGCCAGACUCCGUCUCAA
rnacentral:SRP_RNA from 2 species